rnacentral:tRNA from 1 species
GGGCGUAUAGCUCAGUGGUAGAGCGCGUGCUUAACGUGCGUAAGGCCUUGGAUCCAAACCCCAAUACUUCCA